rnacentral:RNase_P_RNA from 1 species
CGGGAAGACGAAGAUGUCUGCUAUCCGGCUUUUGCCGGGUAGAGGAAAGUCCGGACACCACAGGGCGGGAUACUUCCUAACGGGAAGCUGCAGCAAUGCAGAGCCAGCUCCACAGAAACAAACCGCGAGGCGUUUCCAUACGCUUCGCAAGGGUGAAAUGGCGGUGUAAGAGACCACCGGUGGCGGCAGUGACGCCUCCAGCCAGGAAAGCCUUAUCCGGUGCAAUGCCAAAUAGGGAAGCUUGCGUGGCCCGCGCAUUUAGCUUCCGGGUAGGCAGCUUGAACCCUUCCCCGGAAACGGGGACCCGGGUCGCGAGACAGGGUCCAGAUGAAUAGACAUCAGCCCGCGCAAGCGGGUGAACAGAAUCCGGCUUAACGAUCAUCCCGGGAG